UACGUAGGUCCCCGAGCGUUGCGCGAAUUCACUGGGCGUAAAGCGCCCGUAGCCGGCUCGGCGUGUCUCUCGUUAAAUCCACAGGCCUAACCUGUGGGCUGCGGGAGAUACUGCCGGGCUUGGGGGUGGGAGAGGCGCCCGGUAUUCCCGGGGUAGGGGUAAAAUCCUCUGAUCCCGGGAGGACCAUCAGUGGCGAAGGCGGGGCGCCAGAACACGCCCGACGGUGAGGGGCGAAAGCUGGGGGAGCAAACGGGAUUAGAAA
rnacentral:rRNA from 1 species